UUUGUGAGGUGCAUGUGAGUUGGACUGGAAGAAUGUCUAUUACAGAUCCUAAUUGAAGUAGCGAUUAUCCAGGCUUGUAUCCUGGGGGCUGAUGAGGAGUAGGGUUUCUGGACAACUUAAACAGAUCCAGAGUUAGUCGAUCCUAAUCUCAAUAAUGGGAGAAAGGGAGUACAGUUGAUAUUCUGUAACUGACAACAGUUCGCGGCAACGCAUACUAUUUUUCUCCGCCAAUCUUAUACCGUUGGUAGGGAUCUCUUUCCUACAUGACAGUACUAAUACCCAGGGAAACUGGUCAUCAGGCGAACUGCGGCGUUCUGCUGGCAAAACAUAGCUUCGGUUAUGUCAAUGGCUAUUGGAUUGGUCCAUGAAGCGAAAAAUAGUUUACUGUGUCACUCGUACCGAUAACCGCAUCAGGUCUUCUAGGUAAGUAGCCUAUGGCCAUUGAGGCAUGAUAGUUCAGGGAAUUCGGCCAAUUAGAGCUGUAACUUCGGGAUAAAGCUUGGCUCUGAUGAAAAUCAGAACCGAUUGUUACGCGGAGAGCCCAACUGUUUAAUAAAAACGUAGUGUCGCGCUGUGGUAGUAUAGCCAGUGAACGCGACAUGAAUCCUGCUCAGUGCUGUGUCUGUUAAUAUGGUUCAAGCCAACGAAGCACCGGUAAAUAGCUGGGGUAACUAUGACUCUUAUCAAAGUAGCGAAAUACCUCGUCACUUAAUUAGUGACCUGCAUGAACGGAGCUAUGAGGUUCUCACUGUCCCAAACUGUCUCUCAGCGAACCAACUGUAGUGGGAACGGUCACUAGAUAUCCAGCGGGGAAAGAAGACCCUGUAGAGCUUCACUUUGGUCUAGUCUUGUAUAGUUCCUGCGGG
rnacentral:ncRNA from 1 species